rnacentral:rRNA from 1 species
GGAUAGCGGAGAAAUUCCAAUCGAACUCGGAGAUAGCUGGUUCUCCUCGAAAUAGUUUUAGGACUAGCCUUGUUUCGUAGCAUUUGGGGGUAGAGCACUGAAUGAGGUAGGGGCCAACACGGUUACUGAACUCUAUCAAACUACGAAUACCAAAUGUGUAAGAACAAGAGUCAGACUGCGGGAGCUAAGUUCCGUGGUCAAAAGGGAAAGAGCCCAGAUCGUCAAUUAAGGUCCCAAAGAUAUAGUUAAGUGGAAAACGAUGUGAUUUUGCGUAAACAACCAGGAUGUUGGCUUAGAAGCAGCCAUUCAUUCAAAGAGUGCGUAAUAGCUCACUGGUCGAGUGAAGUUGCGCGGAAAAUUACCGGGGCUAAACUAUACACCGAAAUUGCGGAUUUGCAUAGAAAUAUGUAAGUGGUAGAGGAGCAUUCUAUAGUAGGACGAAGCAUAAUCGAAAGGAUAUGUGGACGAGAUAGAAGAGAGAAUGCCGGAAUAAGUAGCGAAAGCAUGGUGAGAAUCCAUGCCAUCGAAAGUCUAAGGUUUCCUGGGGAAGGUUCGUCCGCCCAGGGUAAGUCGGGACCUAAGGAGAGGCCGAAAAGCGUAUCCGAUGGACAGCAGGUAGAAAUUCCUGCACUACGUAAUACUUAAAAGACAUAAAUGACACAGGAGUGGAAGAUAAGCGAGGAAGAGGAAAGACUCGUAUCGAAAGAUAUAGUGAAAAUUAAAGUAACGAAUUAUCAAGAAGCUAAUGGCGAGAAAAGUUUAUGGAUAUUGUAUUAAGUACCCGUACCGCAAACCGACACAGGUAGAUGAGGAGAAGAUCCUAAGAUGAGCGAGAGAAGCAUUGUUAAGGAACUCGGCAAACUGACCCCGUAACUUCGGAAUAAGGGGUGCUGGAGUAAAAUCCAGUCGCAGAGAAUAGUCCCAAGCAACUGUUUAACAAAAACACAGGUUUCUGCUAAAUCGAAAGAUGAAGUAUAGGAGCUGACACCUGCCCAGUGCUGGAAGGUUAAGGGAAAGAGUUAGACGCAAGUCGAAGCUUAGAACUAAAGCCCCAGUGAACGGCGGCCGUAACUAUAACGGUCCUAAGGUAGCGAAAUUCCUUGUCAGGUAAGUUCUGACCCGCACGAAAGGUGUAAUGAUUUGGGAGCUGUCUCGACAAUGUACUCGGCGAAAUUGUAGUACUAGUGAAGAUGCUAGUUACCUGCGACAAGACAGAAAGACCCCAUGGAGCUUUACUGCAGCUUGAUACUGGGUUUCGGUAAUUUAUGUACAGGAUAGGUGGGAUGCUAAGAAGUAUGUGCGCCAGCGCAUAUGGAGCAGACGUUGGGAUACCACCCUUAAAUUACUGGAAUUCUAACUAUAAGUCCUAAGCGGGCUUGAGGACAAUGUCAGGCGGGCAGUUUGACUGGGGCGGUCGCCUCCUAAAGAGUAACGGAGGCGCGCAAAGGUUUCCUCAGCGCGGACAGAAAUCGCGCGAAAGAGUGCAAAGGCAGAAGGAAGCUUAACUGAGAGACAGACAUGUCGACCAGAUACGAAAGUAGGUCUUAGUGAUCCGGUGGUUGUAAGUGGAAAUGCCAUCGCUCAACGGACAAAAGUUACCCUGGGGAUAACAGGCUUAUCUCCCCCAAGAGUUCACAUCGACGGGGAGGUUUGGCACCUCGAUGUCGGCUCA